UGGGAGUGUAACGUUGUAAGGGUCCUACAC
rnacentral:piRNA from 1 species